AUACCUUUCUCGGCCUUUUGGCUAAGAUUAAGUGUAGUAUCUGUUCUUAUCAGUUUAAUAUUUGAUAUGUGGAGACAACAUGAUAUUAAUUUAAUUUUUUAAGAGGGAAGGUUCAUUAGGAUAGUUUGCUAUUUGGGUCUUCACGUGUUGCCUAAAUGUUGCAUUACGGCUAAGCCUGUUACUAGUUAG